ACGGGGUGCAGCAGGCGCGAAACCUCUACAAUGCGCGAAAGCGUGAUAGGGGGACUCCAAGUGACAUCAUUCGAUGUCUUUUCUCUACCUCAAAAACGUAGGGGAAUAAGAGCUGGGUAAGACCCGUGCCAGCCGCCGCGGUAAUACGGGCAGCUCUAGUGGCAUUCACGAAUAUUGGGCCUAAAGCGUACGUAGCCGGUCCUACAAGUUCCUUGUGAAAUCCUAUGGCUUAACCAUGGGAAGUGCAAGGAAAACUGUGGGACUUGGAGCCGGGAAGGGUCGGAGGUAUUCCUUGGGUAGGGGUGAAAUCCAGUGAUCCUUGGAAGACCAACGGUGGCGAAGGCGUCCGACUAGAACGGGCUCGACGGUGAGGUACGAAAGCUAGGGGAGCGACCCGGAUUAGAUACCCGGUUAGUCCUAGCCGUAAAUGAUGCAGGUUUGGUGUAACAAUCCUUACGUGGGAUUGUUGUGCCGUAGGGAAGCCGUUAAACCUGCCGCCUGGGAGUACGUCGCAAGAC
rnacentral:rRNA from 1 species